rnacentral:rRNA from 1 species
AGAACCAACAGGGAUUGCCUUAGUAACGGCGAGUGAAGCGGCAAUAGCUCAAAUUUGAAAUCUGGCGCUUGCGUCCGAGUUGUAAUUUGUAGAGGAUGAUUUUGGUUAGGUACCUUUCGAGUUCCUUGGAACAGGACGCCNUAGAGGGUGAGAGCCCCGUACGAUUGGAUGCCGAGCCUUUGUAAAUCUCCUUCGACGAGUCGAGUAGUUUGGGAAUGCUGCUCUAAAUGGGAGGUAAAUUUCUUCUAAAGCUAAAUACCGGCCAGAGACCGAUAGCGCACAAGUAGAGUGAUCGAAAGAUGAAAAGCACUUUGAAAAGAGGGUUAAAUAGCACGUGAAAUUGUUGAAAGGGAAGGAUUUAUGACCAGACUUUUUCUAGGAGGAUCAUCCGGUGUUCUCACCGGUGCACUCUUUCUAGUUUAGGCCAGCAUCGACUUUCGGCGGUGGAUAAAAGCUUCAGGAAUGUAGCUCCCCUCGGGGAGUGUUAUAGCCUGUUGUAUAAUACGCUGCUGGGGGUCGAGGUACGCGCUUCUGCAAGGAUGCUGGCGUAAUGGUUAUCAAUCACCCGUCUUGAAACACGGACCAAGGAGUCGAACAUUUAUGCGAGUGUUUGGGUGUUAAACCCUCACGCGUAAUGAAAGUGAACGGAGGUGAGAGCCCUUACGGGUGCAUCAUCGACCGAUCCUGAAGUUUUCGGAUGGAUUUGAGUAAGAGCAUAACUGUUCGGACCCGAAAGAUGGUGAACUAUGCGUGGAUAGGGUGAAGCCAGAGGAAACUCUGGUGGAGGCUCGCAGCGGUUCUGACGUGCAAAUCGAUCGUCAAAUCUGCGCAUGGGGGAGAAAGACUAAUCGA